UCGGAAGAUGGAAAUGGAAAGUAACUGAGGGAAGCUCUGAGGGCGAAGCAGGGACCCAGAAAAGGCUCACAGGCACACCCGUGUCAGUGAGAGAAACCAGGCUUCAUUAAAGGGGCAGGAGGCUGGGUAUGGUGAUGUAUUCCUGCCUGUAAUUGCUGCACAUUGGAGGUGGAAGCAGAUGGAGGCAACCUGGGCUACACGGCAAGGCCAAUGUCACCCCAAAGACUCAUGCAAGCUCACCUCUCCAUAUCUUCCAACACGCAGUACAAUCUUCCUGAAACACCUCCAAUCUGCACUCGGCUAACUCCAACUCCUCCACGGAGAUUCAGCUCAGGAGACAUUCCUCAUAGAAGCUUUCCCGAGCCACCCCUAGCCACCACCCGCAGAAACUACGAGCUCUCAACUGCGGGGCUAUUGAUCGCUGUAUCAAGGACACGCUCAUUGCAUGAAUGGCUGUGGGUUAACAGCCUAGGAGGAAUGUGGACUGUGGAGAUAACCCUAAAGCUGCUGGAUCACCUAAACCUGUACUGACUCUUCCUCCUAAAAAUGAUGGGAGCACUCACAAAAUCAGCACGAGCUGGUUGAGGCUAGAAUGAAAGCCCCAGGAAAGGGCUCGGAGCUCCUUGCGACAAAAGGACCACAAGGUUACAUGGGACGGGAUGGGAGAGUUUCACAGCCACCACUUUACCAUCCAUUCUUGAGAAGCCCUGCCUGGGAUGACAACGGGACCCAGACCCCAGUGUGUUGUCACCAGCCUCAGAAAACCCCCAAGAGGCAUGUUUCCAGACUCCUCCGUAAUUUCCUGGACUGUCCCAACCACUCCACAACCAGUAACGAUAAACCCAA